GGCUGCUGCCCCGCGGCGUGCCCGGGGUGGUGGCGCGGCGUGCGCGCCCCCGCGGGCGGGUCCCCGCCGGCUGAGUCAGAGCCCCCCCGGCGUGAGGGGAGGUCACGUGGUGCGGGGGGGGGUGACGGGAGGGGGUUCCCUGAGGUGAAGCCGCCCUGAGCCGCGUCAAGGUCUGCGGGUCUGCUCUGCGGAAUUCCUCUCCCCCUGUCGGCAGGCAGGGAGCGGGGGGGGCUGGCGGCGGCUGUUGUCCUCCCGGAACCUGCUGGGAAACCUCCCAGAACGAUUUAUUCCGCUGGAAGCGGAGAGUGCCGCAGGAAGAGCAGGCGGGCGGAUUCUCCAGCCUGAAGGAAAAAUGAGGGUAUUACAACUAAAAAAAAUAAAAAUGGUCUGAAACGCUUCUCA